rnacentral:lncRNA from 1 species
GAGGAGUCAAGUUUGGAAGAGGAAGAUCAUCAAGAGACGGCCCAAAUAUGUCAUAUGGCCAAUGACGAUGAGGUAGAUUCUGAACUUGAAUGUGAUUUUACUGUUGAUGAAUUACAUGAUGCAUUUUUAGAACUCAUGGAAGAACACAAAAAACUAAUCAAUAAAAAUAAAGUUCUAAAAGAAGAAAAUCAAUCUCUUAUCAAAGAUAAGCUGAA